ensembl:lncRNA
UUCACUUUGACCCUUACUGUGUGUUUACAGGCAGUUGCAACAGAGCGACUUCAGAUUAUUAGAACACAUUUGCCAAACACCACAAAAUACACCUGAAUGGAUUUCUGCAAAUAUGUAAAUACCACGGGAGUCCACUUACUUUUGGAGACUUUACAGUCCUAUUGAUUAAACAACCAUGAAAAGACGAGGCGUAUUUUAUUCUUUCCGAGCAACAAAUCAGGCCCGCAGCAGAACAGAACCCCAGUACUGCUCUGGGCCACCACUUCUAAUCUGGACGGGGACUGCUGUGGCCCACAGGGAGAGAACAGACUCAGAUGGAGAUGGAGGAAAAGAAAGAAAGAAAGACAGAGAAGAAAUACAGGGAGCCUUGUACAGGAACAACACUGUACAAUGGCUGAAUAGUGUGAAGAGAGAGAGAGGAGGAGAAGAGAAGAUAUGAGAGAAAGAGCUAGUAAAGAGGUCAUGAAGUGGUUAUGAAACCAGCUCUGACCUAAUCUGGCGUGUUUAUGGCUUUUUUCAGGCACAGAGAUGCAGGUUGGAAUUAGAAUGGGUGGUGUGGUGGCUUAGGAUCAGAUCAGAGGGAGAGAGAGAAGAGAGAGAAGAGAGAGAUAUAUGUAGGAAAGGGGGUCUGGGAGGGGUUGCAGAUAAUUAAUUCAGAUGCACCUAGCAGCACCUCAACCCCAAAUCACAGUGGACCAGCAAUUAUUAACCCUCUAAAAUCAGUACAACAAUAGAAAUGUGUCUCCACUGUACAGACACAGAGAGAGAGAGAGUCAGAGAAGGGGCAUCUGAAUGGCAAAAAAACAUCAUUCAUCCUUUCCGACAGUCAAAAAGUAGAAAAUGUUCAAACAUUAUAUGAUUAAAUGUUAAUUGUCAAGCACUGUUCUCCACUACAUACCAUUCUCUGGGCUUUUGUAUUGCUCUUAUCUGAUUUCCCUCGAAUUAUAGAUUUUACAUCAUAUUCCAGUUGACCUGUCCCUCUCAUUGGGCACAGUGUAUUGUAGUGUCUCAUGGACAUCAUCAUUGCACUGUGUGUGCAGCUAGGAGAGUAUCAGUAAUGCUAUCCCACCACAGAAUAAUGAUAUCAACAGUUAUCUCAGAUCAAUCAACCACAGACCAAUUAAAAGCACAUAAAGUCGUUCAUAGUUAUAAUAUUUUGGAUACCUUUGUCAUGAUCAUAGCAAUACCAUCAUUGUUAUCAUUGUAAUGUUGUGUCUCUAAAAGCAAUAUCAUAUGAUAUUAUUAUGUUAUAAUGAUGAUUUAACAGUGAGAUGUUUUGUGGCAGAGGCAAAACCAUUUCUUCACUUACAGGAGUACAAGGAGGUAGCAACGUUACAGUAUAUCGUUGAAUCAGUGGAGACAUCAGCCAAACCCCUGAAAUAGGACCCAUGCAUUGUGUCUUGUUCUGGAAUUGCAAUUCAUUAAUGAACUGUAAAGUGUGUGUGUGUGUGUGAUGUUUUCAUCUGCGUGUGUGCGUGCCUGUGGGCGUGUGCCUGCAUCUGUGUGUUUGGUAGCUCCACUAGCAGGUUGUAUGGUUGUAAUUAUAAACCCAUUCUGUCAUAUGAGUAGCCUGAGCAGGCCCUGGGGACGCAGAGAGAGCUGCAACAAAACGCUGUUACCACUGCUGCUGUCCAGCCAUUACACCCCUCCCCUCUCUCUCUCUGUUCCUCUCUCGAUCCAAUUCUUUCCUUCUGCAUUCCUCCCUCUGUUCAGAUUCUGAGGUUACUGCAGGAUGUCCUUCACUUUCUCUUUACUCUCUCCAGCAGCCAUAGGGAUCUUUGUUGUGAUAAAAUCUUCUGUUGUUUCAAUUCAAUAUAAAGCUUGGGUUACAGAUUAUUCAAACUCUUAUUGCUUGUCUAUGUUGACAAGCUGACAUUUAUUCCUACAGAGCUAUUAGUUCCUUUCGUGGAGAUCUGUGGCAUGCUGUAUUGUCAGAUCUCAGGCUGCAGUCGGUUUGGGUCCAAGAUUUUUCUGGGAAAAUGCAAAGAAGCUAACUAAGUAGACAGUCUGGAAAGAAUGCACAAAUAGUCCAAUGCAUCUGAGUUCUCAACAUACGUUGUUAUUCCCAGAAUAAUGUGUAUUUAAUUUACGGCUGAACAAAGCAACACUAUAAGACAUCUUUGUUUGAGUCUGUUGAGAUGACAACUCAACAUAUUGCUAAUGACAGUGGCUUGCUGAUAAAACCAUUGAUUGUGUUUUUUUCCCCCCAACGUUGCUUAACUUGUCAGCUGCAACAUACUGUAACUAAGCAUAGCUAAACAUGUAAACACGGUCCUUACAAGUGUC